UACGAAGGGUGCAAGCGUUACUCGGAAUUACUGGGCGUAAAGCGCGCGUAGGCGGCUUUGCAAGUCGAGUGUGAAAUCCCCAGGCUUAACCUGGGAACUGCAUUCGAGACUGCAUGGCUAGAGUAUGGGAGAGGGAAGUGGAAUUUCAGGUGUAGCGGUGAAAUGCGUAGAUAUCUGAAGGAACAUCAGUGGCGAAAGCGACUUCCUGGACCAAUACUGACGCUCAUGUGCGAAAGCGUGGGGAGCAAACAGG
rnacentral:rRNA from 1 species